rnacentral:lncRNA from 1 species
AUAUUUUGGAGAGCUAUUCUGGAUCAGCCUACCUGGCAACGGAUGUUAACAAUUUCCUGGAUCCACAAGGUCGCAGAGAAUAUCAUGGUUAGUUGUGUAGCAUCUGUUGGUUCUAUUAACCUGGUAAACAAGUAGUUACAUCAAUGGAGAGAAUAUCAUGGUUAGUUGUGUGGCAUCUGUUGGUUCUAUUAACCUGGUAAACAAGUAGUUACAUCAAUGUCUCAUAAUUUAGCAGACAUCAAAAGGUUGGAUGUUAUAGCUGAAGGCUUGAGCUUCGAUGAUUUUGCCAGUGAUUGAAUGAACAUUCAAAGGGUAGUAGUUUGUCUUGAAUUUAAAAUUAUCCAUUUUGGGAGUAUAGUUUACAGGAGUACACCAGCUUAAUGUUAAUAGUUGAGAAAUUUGUGAUUUGUACUGUAUAUGUUGUUAAAACUUACAGCUUCCAAUUCCGACACGCGCUCUUUGUUGACAUAUUUUCUCUUUGUAUGGUUGUAAUUGCUGCAGGUACAAUUGCUCCUGAGUAAAAUGGUUUUGUAAAUAGGAUUGCGAAAGAGAAUCAUUUGACCCCUUCUGAAUGUAUUAGUUGGUCACUUUCAACAUAAUUAUUUAAUCAUUAUGGUUGACAUGCCUGACAAGAGGGGUUGCUCUGAUGGUAAGCAACCCCCACUUCCAACCGAGAGGUUGCGAGUUCGANNNNN